rnacentral:rRNA from 1 species
GACGAACGCUGGCGGCGUGCUUAACACAUGCAAGUCGAACGGAAAGGCCCUGCUUUCGUGUGGUGCUCGAGUGGCGAACGGGUGUGUAACACGUGAGUAACCUGCCCUUUACUUUGGGAUAACUUCAGGAAACUGGGGCUAAUACCGGCUAGGAGCUCCUGCUGCAUGGGGGGGGUUGGAAAGUUUCGGCGGUGGGGGAUGGACUCGCGGGUUAUCAGCUUGUUGGUGGGGUAGUGGCCUACCAAGGCUUUGACGGGUAGCCGGCAUGAGAGGGUGACCGGCCACAUUGGGACUGAGAUACGGACCAGACUCGUACGGGAGGCAGCAGUGGGGAGUAUUGCACAAUGGGCGGAAGCCUGAUGCAGCAACGCCGCGUGCGGGAUGACGGCCUUCGGGUUGUAAACCGCUGUCGCCUGUGACGAAGCGUGAGUGACGGUAAUGGGUAAAGAAGCACCGGCUAACUACGUG